GACGAACGCUGGCGGCGUGCUUAACACAUGCAAGUCGAACGAAUUGGCGAACGUGUGUGUAAUACGUGGGUACCCUGCCCCCCUUUUUGGGAUAAGCCUUGGGAAAGGGGUCUAUUACCGACUAAAGUGGGAUGGGCUCGCGGCCUAUCAGCUUGUUGGUGGGGUGAUGGCCUACCAAGGCGGUGACGGGUAGCCGGCCUGUGCGGGUGAGCGGCGAAAUUGGGACUAAGACACGGCCCAGAGUCCGACGGGGGGCAGCAGUGGGGGAGAUUGAAAAAUGGGCGAAAGCCUGAUGCAGCGGCGUAGCGUGGGGGAGGAAGGCUUAGGGGUUGUAAACCUGAUGCGCUAUCGAACGGGUAGGAGGAGAAGGAGAGGCGGCUAACUACGUGCGAGCAGCCGCGGUAUU
rnacentral:rRNA from 1 species